UAGGUUUUCAUGAGAACCUAGGUUCUUAUUUGAAAACCUAGGUUCUCAUGAGAACCUAGGUUCUCAUUUGAAAACCUAGGUUUUCAUGAGAACCUAGGUUCUCAGAAUGAGAACCUAGGUUCUCAUGAGAAACCUAGUUUCUUGGGAUUAUGCGUCUAACUGCUUGCCAUAUCCGUGGUUUUCAUUUGGGAACCAUAGGUUCUCUGAAAACCUAGGUUUUCAGAUCUCUAGGUUUGCAGAAUUACGCGUCGGACGGCGUAAACUUGCUCGUUUGGAAUACGGGACACAUUAUUCAGGGCGCAGGAUCAAUGGGGUUCACAUAUGAUUACACACGGGCUGGACAGAAUGAAAACACGCCGUUAAGAACUUUAUUUUUGCAGAUAUCUCAAGUUAUUGAAAUAUGUUUGCAAAGUCUUUAGCGCAUAAGUUUUUCUUGCAAUGUUGCCGAUAUCUUACGAUUGAAUAAAACAUUAUUACACAUAAUCAAUAGAGAUAAAACUUUAUACCAUAAUGAUUGCUUCCUACAUGUAGGUCACAGACAUACUUAAAAUAGAAAACUGUACCGUACAGUCGUUUGAGGCCCGAACAAGGGAACUGAAUAUUUGAAACUCAUUCAAUGCUGUAACAAUGU